rnacentral:rRNA from 1 species
AACGAACGCUGGCGGCAUGCCUAACACAUGCAAGUCGAACGAGACCUUCGGGUCUAGUGGCGCACGGGUGCGUAACGCGUGGGAACCUGCCCUUAGGUUCGGAAUAACUCCCCGAAAGGGGUGCUAAUACCGGAUAAUGUCUUCGGACCAAAGAUUUAUCGCCUUUGGAUGGGCCCGCGUUGGAUUAGCUAGUUGGUAGGGUAAAAGCCUACCAAGGCGACGAUCCAUAGCUGGUCUGAGAGGAUGAUCAGCCACACUGGGACUGAGACACGGCCCAGACUCCUACGGGAAGCAGCAGUGGGGAAUAUUGGACAAUGGGCGAGAGCCUGAUCCAGCAAUGCCGCGUGAGUGAUGAAGGCCUUAGGGUUGUAAAGCUCUUUUACCCGGGAUGAUAAUGACAGUACCGGGAGAAUAAGCUCCGGCUAACUCCGUG